GAGCCCGUAGCUCAGGGGUAGAGCAUUCGCCUUUUAAGCGAGAGGCCGUGGGUUCGAAUCCCACCGGGCUCA
rnacentral:tRNA from 2 species